rnacentral:misc_RNA from 1 species
AAGUCGUAACAAGGUUUCCGUAGGUGAACCUGCGGAAGGAUCAUUACCGAUUUGAGCGAGCCUGGUCUUCUUGACCAUGGUCUCGCGAAAAUUUUGUAUUUAAAACCCCACUCUUGUAAUUAAUAAAUGUUAUAUUAUGAUAAAAAUAAAGAUCACUUUCAACAACGGAUCUCUUGGUUCUG